rnacentral:tRNA from 1 species
UUAAUUGAAACCAAAAUAGAGGUUUAUCACUGUUAAUGAUAUAAAUGUGGAAUUCACCAAUUAAA